GGCAGUGGUGGCUGAACGGUUAAGGCUCUGGGUUUCUGCUUGGAAGGUUGGGGGUUCAAGCCCCCGUGCUGCCA